rnacentral:rRNA from 1 species
AGAGUUUGAUCAUGGCUCAGAACGAACGCUGGCGGCGUGGAUAAGACAUGCAAGUCGGACGAGAUUUUCCGUUGUAGCAAUACGAUGGAAAGUCUAGUGGCGAACGGGUGCUUAACACGUGGGCAACCUGCCAGGAAGUGGGGGAUAGCUCGCCGAAAGGCGAAUUAAUACCGCAUAUGAUUAGAGUGGACAUCCAUUCGAAAUUAAAGUCGGGGCAACCUGACGCUUCUUGUGGGGCCCGCGGCCUAUCAGCUAGUUGGUGUGGUAAUGGCUCACCAAGGCUUUGACGGGUAGCUGGUCUGAGAGGACGACCAGCCACACUGGGACUGAGACACGGCCCAGACACCUACGGGUGGCAGCAGUCGAGAAUUUUUCUCAAUGGGGGAAACCCUGAAGGAGCGACGCCGCGUGGAGGAUGAAGGUCUUCGGAUUGUAAACUCCUGUCAUUGGGGAACAAUGCGCAGAUAUUAACUGUAUUUGCGUUGAUAGUACCCGAAGAGGAAGAGACGGCUAACUCUGUGCCAGCAGCCGCGGUAAUACAGAGGUCUCAAGCGUUGUUCGGAUUCAUUGGGCGUAAAGGGUGCGUAGGCGGCGCGGUAAGUCGGGUGUGAAAUCUCGGAGCUUAACUCCGAAACUGCAUUCGAUACUGCCGUGCUUGAGGACUGGAGAGGAGACUGGAAUUUACGGUGUAGCGGUGAAAUGCGUAGAUAUCGUAAGGAAGACCAGUGGCGAAGGCGGGUCUCUGGACAGUUCCUGACGCUGAGGCACGAAGGUCAGGGGAGCAAACGGGAUUAGAUACCCCAGUAGUCC